UAAAAAAAUAUUUUAAAAAUUUAAAAAUAAAAUCCUAAUUGAAUUCUAAUCAAAUCCCAAAAUAACCCUUAGAAAAUCUUAAUAAAAUCCUAAACCAAUCUUAACCAAAAAUUAAACCAAAUUCUAAUGAAAUCCAAUGAAAUCUUAAUCAAAUCCAAAUCAAAUCCUAAUUAAAUCCUAAUCAAAUCCUAAAUCUUAAUCAAAUCCUCAUCAAAUCUUAAAUAAAUUCUAAUAAGAUUCAAAUCAAAUUUUGAAUCCUAAUCCUAUAUCAAAUCCUAGAUCUUAAAUCAAUCUUAAUUAAUCUUUAAUCAAAUCCUUGAUCUAAAAUAAAUUCUUGACAAAUCCUAUAGCAGAUUGAAAAUUCAAUAA
rnacentral:lncRNA from 1 species